rnacentral:rRNA from 1 species
GAUGAACGCUGGCGGCGUGCCUAAUACAUGCAAGUCGAGCGAACGGACGAGAAGCUUGCUUCUCUGAUGUUAGCGGCGGACGGGUGAGUAACACGUGGAUAACCUACCUAUAAGACUGGGAUAACUUCGGGAAACCGUAGCUAAUACCGGAUAAUAUUUUGAACCGCAUGGUUCAAAAGUGAAAGACGGUCUUGCUGUCACUUAUAGAUGGAUCCGCGCUGCAUUAGCUAGUUGGUAAGGUAACGGCUUACCAAGGCAACGAUGCAUAGCCGACCUGAGAGGGUGAUCAGCCACACUGGAACUGAGACACGGUCCAGACUCCUACGGGAGGCAGCAGUAGGGAAUCUUCCGCAAUGGGCGAAAGCCUGACGGAGCAACGCCGCGUGAGUGAUGAAGGUCUUCGGAUCGUAAAACUCUGUUAUUAGGGAAGAACAUAUGUGUAAGUAACUGUGCACAUCUUGACGGUACCUAAUCAGAAAGCCACGGCUAACUACGUG